CCUACGGGGGGCUGCAGUGGGGAAUAUUGGACAAUGGGGGGAACCCUGAUCCAGCCAUGCCGCGUGUGUGAAGAAGGCCCUCGGGUUGUAAAGCACUUUCAGUGAGGAAGAACGCCUGGUGGUUAAUACCCAUCAGGAAAGACAUCACUCACAGAAGAAGCACCGGCUAACUCCGUGCCAGCAGCCGCGGUAAUACGGAGGGUGCGAGCGUUAAUCGGAAUUACUGGGCGUAAAGCGCGCGUAGGUGGCUUGAUAAGCCGGUUGUGAAAGCCCCGGGCUCAACCUGGGAACGGCAUCCGGAACUGUCAAGCUAGAGUGCAGGAGAGGAAGGUAGAAUUCCCGGUGUAGCGGUGAAAUGCGUAGAGAUCGGGAGGAAUACCAGUGGCGAAGGCGGCCUUCUGGACUGACACUGUCACUGAGGUGCGAAAGCGUGGGUAGCAAACAGGAUUAGAUACCCUUGUAGUC
rnacentral:rRNA from 1 species